rnacentral:rRNA from 1 species
UACGUAGGGUGCAAGCGUUAAUCGGAAUUACUGGGCGUAAAGCGUGCGCAGGCGGUUUUGUAAGACCGAUGUGAAAUCCCCGGGCUUAACCUGGGAACUGCAUUGGUGACUGCAAGGCUUGAGUGUGUCAGAGGGAGGUGGAAUUCCGCGUGUAGCAGUGAAAUGCGUAGAUAUGCAGAGGAACACCGAUGGCGAAGGCAGCCUCCUGGGAUAACACUGACGCUCAUGCACGAAAGCGUGGGGAGCAAACAGG